AAGGAGGUGAAAAUAAUGAAGAAAUGCGGCGGGAGCUAAUCUGGUUCUCGGCCCGCCGUCUUCCGCCAAGAUUACGGCGGAAGUUUUCGUCCCCGAAGGUCGGGAAGAACUGGUGCUUCUCGGCCAUGGCGUGCUUGGCGCAGAAGCGCACGAUUAAUGGCGACAUUGAAGGCGAGCGCGAGUUCUUCAAAGCCACGCAAGGAGGGGUUGCGAGACGACUCCAUCGAUCUCCUCUGCGCCGCCAUUAUCGCGUCGGCGACAAAUCCUUCUGCCGGCCCCAUCCGUCGCCCGUGUCAGCCGUCUGCGGAUUGCCGGAUGAACGAGAAGGACAACUCGAGGUGCGAUUCCCCCAGUUCCUCCCUCUGCGCCUUACCUUCGCAUCAGCUUGUUGCCAGGGAAACAGAUAGUUUCCUAUUCAGUCGUACUGUUCUUGCUUUCGUGAAGGAUCCUACAUUGACAAUCCCCAAUUCUCUUUGAUAUCCUCUGAAAUGAAGAUUUGACGCCUGUUCUAAGAACUAUCCUGCGACCAAUGUCGUUUGCAGUGUUCCGAUAGUGUGCCAAAGCAGAGGGAAGCCUUGUUCUUAAAAUAACCAGAAAUAGGGAUCUUCUGUGCUCUCCGAGCUGUUCCCGCCAUGCCCUUCUUCUUUACCAGUUGUUGUUUGAGCAACAGAGAUUAUCGACACAGAAAUUUCUACAUCUUUAUUCCCUCUGUUCAACAGUUCCGGAUUGUUUAAUGUGGGUGCUUGCGCAUUUAAUGUAUCAUUCUAGAGAUUCAUAAACUCUAUGCUGAUAUUGAUGAAGAUAUAAUUGCCCAGGAAUCUAGUUUUUCUAAAUGCUUUAAUGAAAGUGAUGAUCUACAAGUAUAUAUACUUUAAAGUGUAUCUCAAUUUUAUUUCCCCAAGUUAAUUUGAUCUUAUGAUCUCAUGAGUAAUCAAACCCGAUCACACAUACACACACACACACGAUGAUUCAAAAAGUUUCCAUACAUGAAGCAGCUUCAGACACUUUAUUAUCUCUGUGUUUGACCUUGCUGUUGUCAAAGUAUUUAUGGACUGUAUAAUUGCUCUUAUUGCAUUAAUUAAAACGCAUGAUAUGAAAUUGGUAAAUCUUCCUAAUGGUUUCCUAUUUUAUAGAGUAAAUCAAUGUAGGAUAUUGAGAUAAAAGACGAGGUAAGUAUGCUUUCAUUUAUCAUAAAAACUUUGUUCAAAAAUUGUAUCAAAUCUCUUGUUAAAAUAUAUUCGUUGACUUUGCAUUCCAAUCCAUCUCGAUAUUCAUUUGACAGCCGUCUUUCUGUUUUUUCCCUUCCGGCUAAGAUUUUUUCAGAAUUGACAGAUACCUUAGGAUUUUUUGCUUUUUUCCGGUCUUUUCCUGGAUCAAAAUCAUUAAGAGAAAGAUUAGUGGGGUUGAAAUAACGAAUAGUGUUCACCAAAUCUUUCAAUCAACAGCGAAAGUCAUUCCGCAGUAUGUCCUCCUUGGGGAAUUUGCAUCAAGGGAAGGCUUUUUCCGAGGCUGUUUUAAUCUUUUUUAUAAUAAUAGUUCAUCCAUAUUUCUGUUGUUCUGUAUUCCUCAGCAAGCAAAUCAUCGAUUACCGCCCAGAUUCUGGACCAGUUCCUUGAUGAUUGGUUAUCCAUAAACUUUGAUUAGAUCAUCUGUCCAUAUGUGAGAUGGAGAGAGAAACAGAUUCAGUCUCCAAUCAUCUUAUUGUUCUUAUAUCUGGUUAAAAAAAAAAGAAACAGAUUCACUCAUAAAUUGCUUUUCCAUAGGAGGCUGACUACCACAUCAAUCAUUUAGAUUGAAAGAAGCAUGAUGUUUUUUCUUUUUAUAGAUAAUUUCAACGAGUUUAGAUUCUCCCUCCGUUUCCUGCUCAGAAUUGCUCAUGAGCGGGCUUUCAGUAUUGCAAUUCUGCUGCUGCAGAUGACGGCGGAGAAGCAGGGGAUGGAAGAUCUCUACAGACACUCUCUUAUAUGUGCUCAGUUUCUGUUCACAAUUAUAAUUUCCGUGCCUACAAUAAAUGUGUGGUUUUGGGGAGGGGGCAGAAUUGAAAAAAAUGAGCUUCAUAGGGCUCUUGUUGACGCUGACAAAGUGGGUUGACUUUGAUGCUGACGACUAGGAUGAACCUCGAUUGAUCGUUUUAGUCUUCUCCUGGAAUCAUUCCUUCUGCGCUUGAAACUGCUAUCUUUUCUGUUCAUGUUGGGAGUCUCCGUUUCUUCAGGAAGAGAGAGAAGAGAGAGAGAGACAGAGAGAGAGGGGAUUUCAGUGGAGGCCCAGAGCUUGGAUUCUCCUCACCAUGGACAGGGCGGCGGCGUUCCUCUCCCGCCACGCUUCGCUGCUCUCCUUCUUCCAGCCGACGGCUCUCAGGAGCUCGUCAUUGCCGUCGAGGAUGCUCGCCGCCUGUCUCAUCGUCGGCCGCCGCCGUGGAUCUGAAUGUGUGCAGGCAAGGCCCAGCUGGAGUAGCC
rnacentral:lncRNA from 1 species